GGUAUUGAUUGGUGCUUGCAUCAUGAUUUACAUUUGAGUGAGUGGCGAACUGGUGAGUAACACGUGGGAAACCUGCCCAGAAGCGGGGGAUAACACCUGGAAACAGAUGCUAAUACCGCAUAACAACUUGGACCGCAUGGUCCGAGCUUGAAAGAUGGCUUCGGCUAUCACUUUUGGAUGGUCCCGCGGCGUAUUAGCUAGAUGGUGGGGUAACGGCUCACCAUGGCAAUGAUACGUAGCCGACCUGAGAGGGUAAUCGGCCACAUUGGGACUGAGACACGGCCCAAACUCCUACGGGAGGCAGCAGUAGGGAAUCUUCCACAAUGGACGAAAGUCUGAUGGAGCAACGCCGCGUGAGUGAAGAAGGGUUUCGGCUCGUAAAACUCUGUUGUUAAAGAAGAACAUAUCUGAGAGUAACUGUUCAGGUAUUGACGGUAUUUAACCAGAAAGCCACGGCUAACUACGUGCCAGCAGCCGCGGUAAUACGUAGGUGGCAAGCGUUGUCCGGAUUUAUUGGGCGUAAAGCGAGCGCAGGCGGUUUUUUAAGUCUGAUGUGAAAGCCUUCGGCUCAACCGAAGAAGUGCAUCGGAAACUGGGAAACUUGAGUGCAGAAGAGGACAGUGGAACUCCAUGUGUAGCGGUGAAAUG
rnacentral:rRNA from 1 species